UACGUAGGGUGCAAGCGUUAAUCGGAAUACUGGGCGUAAAGCGUGCGCAGGCGGUUAUGUAAGACAGAUGUGAAAUGCCCGGGCUCAACCUGGGAAUGGCAUUUGGGACUGCAAGGCUGGAGUGCGGCAGAGGAGACUGGAAUUCCUGGUGUAGCAGUGAAAUGCGUAGAUAUCAGGAGGAAUACCGAUGGCGAAGGCAGGUCUCUGGGCUGACACUGACGCUCAUGCACGAAAGCGUGGGGAGCAAACGAGGAUUACGAAACCCU
rnacentral:rRNA from 1 species